UACGGAGGGGGCGAGCGUUAUCCGGAAUCACUGGGCGUAAAGGGUGCGUAGGCGGCCGAUAAAGUCAGGGGUGAAAGGCUACGGCUUAACCGUAGUAAGCCUUUGAAACUUAUUGGCUUGAGAGCAGGAGAGGAGAAUGGAAUUCCUAGUGUAGCGUUGAAAUGCUUAGAUAUUAGGAGGAACACCAGUGGCGAAGGCGACUCUCUGGACUGUAACUGACGCUGAGGCCCGAAAGCGUGGGGAGCGAACAGG
rnacentral:rRNA from 1 species